CGGGGGCGGCGCGCCCGGCGUGGUGCGGGCGGCGGGCGUCCUCGGGAGGCGGCGGCGGGCGGCGCGGAGCAGCCCCCACCCGCCCGGGGAGGGAGCGGGCACUCGGCGGCACGCGGCCUCGCGCCUCGCCUCCCACACCCCCGCACACAAAGACGCCACUCGGCACCGGGAGCAGGGGCCCGCAGCGGGAGCGGGGGCGCACGGGGCGCCGGCCCCGGGGACGACGCCGCCGCCGCAGGGACGCGCGCCCGCAGCCUCCGGCUACCCUAAACCGCAUAGCCCGGCCCUCAGCCCGAGCGGCCGGCGAGGGAUGAGCGGAUGCGGGAGAGAGAGGAGGGGACCCGGGUGCCCGGAGCUGGGCGAGUUACAGCUCGGCCCCGCAGCAUCAUGGGGCUUGUAGUCCGCCUGGUGGAACCGAGCUUUUCGGAUGACCAGAGACGGUCUGGAACUGAUUUCCUGAAAGGGAGGACAGAGAGUCGGGCCCGGCCGAAACGGAGGCCUUACUUGGAUGUCAGUCUUUUGCUCUCUCAGAAAAUUAAACCCAUCUUCCAGACAUCGCAUUGGGAAGAGAAUGUCUAACGGGGCGAAGAAGACCGUCCUUCCCCUCCAUUGCUCAGCAAGAAUCGGGAUGAGGCUGAGCAAAGACAGCAGCAGGUGGCAGCCUCCCACCUCCACCCCAUGGGGGUCCCUGCCUAAGGGAAAUGACUGGGUCCAGAUGGCCUCCUUCCUGAAUGACCAGAGCAGACGAGCCCUUCCACAAGGAUCCCUUGCAGACGGUGGUGAGAGUGCAAAUGGCCUCUGUGGCAGCCAACUGCAACUGUUAAAAGAACCCAGACACCCUGGAAGAGAAAUGGAUCGUGAUGUCCACAGAGCUGUGUUUAAAUACCGCAUCGACUGCUUGAUCGUAAGCAAAUGGCUUACACUUCUGAGUUUCUCGGGCCACUCGCCUCUUGGAUGGGAUUGGAUACUAUCUCCUGGGGUGAGCUAAGGAUAGCAACUGCCUGAAAACGGCGUCUCUCGCUCCUCCAGCCCGGCUGAGACAGGUGGUAGGAAUGCACAGGUUGCCUUCCUUGAGCCCACCUUAAACCAAGGCAGAAAUAAGGGAUUCCUCGUCACCCCGGACUCAGAACAAUAAUCUAAAGAGUGUUCGUGUGGGAGGUGCCAGCAAAAGCUUGCAAACUCCUUGUGCCUCUCUGGGGUUUCUUUGUGUGGUCUUCUCCCCUGCCUCCUGCACACCCAGCGUUGCCAGGCCCGGGAGGGCUGAGGGAGGAGCAGGCUGCCUCACCCCUUUCUGCAGCCUGGGAGGAGCCGGCAGGCAGGCGUCUCCACAGCCCAGGUCCGCAGCCCGUCUCCACCACUAGGGGUCAGCAGAGCGUCGUGAUUGCAGCCUGAGUUGAGGAGGGGGCUGGAGUCGCCAGGAGGGGACGUCUAGGAGAGCCUCCAGGACGCUUGUACAGUGGUUCCUCAUUAAAUCGUUUUCAGAACCUUG